AGUUCAGCGGUAGAAUACAACCUUGCCAAGGUUGGGGUCGCGGGUUCGAAUCCCGUC
rnacentral:tRNA from 1 species